rnacentral:tRNA from 1 species
GGCCCUAUGGUCAAGUGGUCAAGACAUCGCCCUUUCACGGCGGUAACGGGAGUUCGAACCUCCCUAGGGUCACCA